AGGUCUUGACAUCCGAUGCUAUUUCUAGAGAUAGAAAGUUACUUCGGUACAUCGGUGACAGGUGGUGCAUUGGUUGUCGUCAGCUCGUGUCGUGAGAUGUUGGGUUAAGUCCCGCAACGAGCGCAACCCCUAUUGUUAGUUGCCAUCAUUCAGUUGGGCACUCUAGCGAGACUGCCGGUAAUAAACCGGAGGAAGUGGGAUGACGUCAAAUCAUCAUGCCCCUUAUGACCUGGGCUACACACGUGCUACAAUGGUUGGUACAACGAGUUGCGAGUCGGUGACGGCGAGCUAAUCUCUUAAAGCCAAUCUCAGUUCGGAUUGUAGGCUGCAACUCGCCUACAUGAAGUCGGAAUCGCUAGUAAUCGCGGAUCAGCACGCCGCGGUGAAUACGUUCCCGGGCCUU
rnacentral:rRNA from 1 species